AACGAACGCUGGCGGCAUGCCUAACACAUGCAAGUCGAACGAGACCUUCGGGUCUAGUGGCGCACUGGUGCGUAACGCGUGGGAACCUGCCCUUAGGUUCGGAAUAACUCCCCGAAAGGGGUGCUAAUACCGGAUAAUGUCUUCGGCCCAAAGAGUUAUCGCCUUUGGAUGGGCCCGCGUUGGAUUAGCUAGAUGGUAGGGUAAAAGCCUACCAAGGCGACGAUCCAUAGCUGGUCUGAGAGGAUGAUCAGCCACACUGGGACUGAGGCACGGCCCAGACUCGUACAGGAGGCAGCAGUGGGGAGUAUUGGACAAUGGGCGAAAGCCUGAUCCAGCAGUGCCGCGUGAGUGAUGAAGGCCUUAGGGUUGCAAAGCUCUUUUACCCGGGAUGAUAAUGACAGUACCGGGAGAAUAAGCUCCGGCUAACUCCGUG
rnacentral:rRNA from 1 species